AAGCCCAGCCAACCGCAUUGUUGUCUCAUGUUAAGUCUCAGUCAACAAGUCUCCUCUCCUGUGAAACACUUGUAGACGUUCUAUUACUGCAUAAGAAGCAAGCAAUCAUGCCCACUAGCAUUACAUUAGAAAAUUAAAUGAGCAUCAAUUUUCACAGGCUCACAUGCUUGCAAGGCUUAUGACUAGAGUAUCUGAGGCUUGAGCUUUGCAUGAGCUAUUCUUUUUCUUCUAUCACACAAAACAUUAGUUAGAUCUUGCAAUUGAUUUUGUUUUCUUCUGAUUCUUGUGUUUUUUUGAUGAAGUUUCUCUUUCAGACCCUUUGAUCUCUUAGGAGGCCAUGUAUCAAAGAGAGAUUGAGGCAUGAGAGCGCUUGUGGAGAUGGAGAUGUACUUGGAGAACAUGAAGAGCUUGCAUUAUUAGAUGCAUUUGAUUGAGGAGGAGGCAGCAAUGAGAUCCGUUGAGGAGUAGAAGCAGAAGAUCUUGAUUGAGACCUUGGAAAAAGAGCUCCAGGCUAUCAUAGUUCAAGCCUCAAGGCAUCAACAAAUGUUACUCUUGUAUAUAUAUGAUAUACAUAUCAAUCCAAGAAUGUUUAUGCAACCAACUGUACACUUAAUAUGCAUGUAUUUGCCUAUCUGCUGCCCUUGCUCUUUUUGACCAUGCAUGGGCAUUUUUCAUUUGAAUAUAAUUCUAGUUGUUAAGCAUAUAGUACAUAUAGAAAGUAUGCUUGCAUGUGGGACCAAUUUUCCUUUACUGAUGCCCACAACAAAACAGAUCUCACCCAACUGCAUGUGUAGUUUCUUGUGUGUUAAUCGGAGAAGUAUGAUACAUGAUUGGCAAUGAUUGACCUU